CUACGGGAGGGAAGUGGUAGAUGUCAGGCUUCCCAGAAAAGCUCUAAACACCAUAAACAAUGUCAGCCUGUACCCGAAACCGACACAGGUAGGGAGGUAGAGUAUACCAAGGGGCGCGAGAUAACUCUCUCUAAGGCGGCCGCGUCGACUGCCCUGGAAACUAUGCGGCUAGAGUACUGGAGAGGUGGACGGAACUGCACGAGUAGAGGUGAAAUUCGUAGAUAUGUGCAGGAAUGCCGAUGAUGAAGAUAGUUCACUGGACGGUAACUGACGCUGAAGUGCGAAAGCUAGGGGAGCAAACAGGAUUAGAUACCCUGGUAGUCCUAGCUGUAAACGAUGAUUACUGGGUGUGGGCAUGAAGAGUGUCCGUGCCGAAGCUAAUGCGAUAAGUAAUCCGCCUGGGGAGUACGGCCGCAAGGCUGAAACUCAAAGGAAUUGACGGGGGCCCGCACAAGCGGUGGAGCAUGUGGUUUAAUUCGACGCAACGCGAGGAACCUUACCAGAUCUUGACAUCCUGCGAAGGCCUGCGG
rnacentral:rRNA from 1 species